rnacentral:lncRNA from 1 species
CUGUUCUGUUCCUAAUUCAAGAUUGCUUUGUCUUGUCCUUUCUGAGCCUUGUUUACAUUACUUUUCCAAGAAACUGCAUGUAGCUCACCUUUAUCCCAAUUAACUGCCAAUAAAAGUCAGUGCCUGGGACUGGCCAGGGCCUGUCGGUUGUCCCUGCACCCCGCUUUCUCUCUCCUAGUUCUGCCUUUUAGUUUUAUUUCUCAGGCCUGCGUCGUAUACUGGGCAGGGUUCUGGAACCUAACUGCAGGAUCUCUAGUACUUGGCGCCCAUGGUCAGGGCUCAAACCAUGAGCAAUCACCUGCUCAGUAAGGCUACUCGGAAUAAAAAGAAGGAGUCGACAAUGCCGUGCACCUCACACCAAGGUCAAGGACAAGCACAACAACCCAGAGAAAGAGUUUAGAGACCAAAACUAUAAAGGUAACUGGGCUAAGAAGACAGCCAAUAUUUUGGCCCUGGCCCUUCAAGGUCUACAAACAGCCCAGGUCAUGACAGAAUCUUUUCUACAAGAUCCUACAACUUUGGUAAGUCACCGAACCUCCUGAGCAGGGAGACUGUGGGACACCAAAAAAAGAAAAUAAGAUGCUGUGACCAUCAUCCCAGAAUGUACCACCACGGACCAAGAUGAUAGAUUUGCUGCAAGCAGCACAAUGUGACCCCCGCUGAGGGCCAUGCAAAAGCUACAUGUGAGUGACUCUCCUCGCCUGCAACAGCCCUUGGACCUGCAAAGAUCACCAGACCUAACGCAGCUGACGUUUUCAACAGAGAAGAGGGAGAUGCAGAGGACUAUAAUAUUGAUUAUGACCAAAGCAGACUAAAGAGCUAACCCCACAAUCAGCUUGUUUAUAGAAAUGAGUCCAAAGCCCAUGUGCCAAGGUCAGAGUAACUCGCACCCAAAUUCCAUUCCCACAACUAAAACCUCCUGACUAGAAAGACAAUGUUCUAAUUACAAUCAUGUAUUUGUCUAUUCUGUUCCUAAUUCGAGAUUGCUUUGUCUUGUCCUUUAUGGGCCCUGUUUACAUUAAUUUCCAUAGGAAUUCCACACAGCUUGCUUUUACCCCAAUUAACUGCCAAUAAAAGUCAGUGCCUGGGACUGGCCAGGGCUUUGGGUGGUUGCACCAGCACUGGUCGGUCCUGGCCCCCUUUCUCUCUCCUAGUUCUGCCUUAGUUUUAUUUCUUAGGCCUGCGUCGUAUACUGGGCAGGGUGCUGAAAC